rnacentral:rRNA from 1 species
UGGGCAGGUUGAAGGUUGGGUAACACUAACUGGAGGACCGAACCGACUAAUGUUGAAAAAUUAGCGGAUGACCUGUGGCUGGGGGUGAAAGGCCAAUCAAACCGGGAGAUAGCUGGUUCUCCCCGAAAGCUAUUUAGGUAGCGCCUCGUGAAUUCAUCUCCGGGGGUAGAGCACUGUUUCGGCUAGGGGGCCAUCCCGGCUUACCAACCCGAUGCAAACUGCGAAUACCGGAGAAUGUUAUCACGGGAGACACACGGCGGGUGCUAACGUCCGUCGUGAAGAGGGAAACAACCCAGACCGCCAGCUAAGGUCCCAAAGUCAUGGUUAAGUGGGAAACGAUGUGGGAAGGCCCAGACAGCCAGGAUGUUGGCUUAGAAGCAGCCAUCAUUUAAAGAAAGCGUAAUAGCUCACUGGUCGAGUCGGCCUGCGCGGAAGAUGUAACGGGGCUAAACCAUGCACCGAAGCUGCGGCAGCGACACUGUGUGUUGUUGGGUAGGGGAGCGUUCUGUAAGCCUGUGAAGGUGUGUCGUGAGGCAUGCUGGAGGUAUCAGAAGUGCGAAUGCUGACAUAAGUAACGAUAAAGCGGGUGAAAAGCCCGCUCGCCGGAAGACCAAGGGUUCCUGUCCAACGUUAAUCGGGGCAGGGUGAGUCGACCCCUAAGGCGAGGCCGAAAGGCGUAGUCGAUGGGAAACGGGUUAAUAUUCCCGUACUUGGUGUUACUGCGAAGGGGGGACGGAGAAGGCUAUGUUGGCCGGGCGACGGUUGUCCCGGUUUAAGCGUGUAGGUGUGUGUUCCAGGUAAAUCCGGUUCACUUUAACACUGAGGCGUGACGACGAGGCACUACGGUGCUGAAGCAACAAAUGCCCUGCUUCCAGGAAAA